rnacentral:rRNA from 1 species
CCUACGGGAGGCAGCAGUGGGGAAUAUUGGGCAAUGGGCGAAAGCCUGACCCAGCAAUGCCGCGGGAAUGAAGAAGGUCUGAGGAGGGGAAAAGUCUGUCCGAGGGGAAGAAAAAAAUGACGGUACCAUAGGAGGAAGCCUCGGCUAACGACGUGCCAGCAGCCGCGGUAAUACGUAGGGGGCGAGCGUUGUCCGGAAUUACUGGGCGUAAAGAGAGCGUAGGCGGCACUAAAAGUCUCAUGGGAAAUACCCGGGCUUACCUUGGGGGUUGCAUGGGAAACUGUAGCGCUUGAGUACAGGAGAGGCAAGCGGAAUUCCUCUUGUAGCGGUGAAAUGCAUAGAUAUUAGGCGGAACCCCAGUGGCGAAGGCGGCUUGCUGGACUGAAACUGACGCUGAGGCUCGAAAGCGUGGGGAGCAAACAGGAUUAGCUACCCGGGUAGUC